AAUGUUCAUUUUUAUAAACAAUUCAUUUUGUGACUUUUAUCAGAAUUUUGAACAUAAAAAAUAUAUAUAUUUAAAAGUUUUAAAAGUGUCUGUGGAUUUAAAGAAAGUCUGUCCAUAUCUACAAGUCGUUGCGUUGAAUGCAGAGCCUCAAGGAAAAUAAUGCGAUCUUUCCGGCGCGAGAGUGUUGCGCUCUGCGUGACCCCUGCUCCUUAACCCCAUGCCCCCAACACAAGAGCAUCACGAAUAUAUGAAAAUAUCGAAUAAUACUUAUACAAGUCAUUGCGCAACUCUAAAAGACUUUGAUUUAAUAUGAUUUAAUGUAUUAUAAAGGAAAAAUCUGAAUCAAUCAUAAACAGAGGCAAAUCUGAUUUUGUUAAACACACUACCGAUAGAUAAUUCUGUCAGAAGAUGUAUCGCGUUCAUCCGUUUCAAAUGCAAAUAAGUAGGCAUCCCCUUGUUACCCAUUACUAAUACCAUAAAAGAAACCAACACUGCUCCAUUCCGCUGGUACUUUACGGAUUAGCGAAUGAAAAUUAGAUGCAUUUAUAUGGUUAUUACUUAUAUGGUCACACAGUGGGGAGGGGGAUUUAUCCAAGCGUACAGUGCAGAAACUCCCUCAGGAAUGAACCACUCGCACCUUCUGCAGCUGGGCGGUGGAUUACAGUUUUAAACCCGGACUAAGGUUUAACGCGACCGGCACGCUGACAGGAAUUCUUCCCGCCGUUUCGACUAAACAAAGCAGAGGAACGAAACAUCAGAGCUUUUCUCCUUUACGCUGUUUUGCUAGUUUUUAGUAAUCGCCAUCACUGUUAUGAGAGCUUAGAACGAGCUCGUGGCAGCCCGAGCUCCGCGCGCGGCACUUGAUCAACGAUAGACAGAAAAGUCUCGAGGUGCAAACUUUAUUAAGAAGCAUUCAAACAAUCCGCUGUCACUUCGACAUCACAUCUUUCAUGACAGCGUUUUAAAGUGCCGAAAGUUUUGUUGCCAUCUUUCCCAAAGCGCUUUACUUGACGCGCCUGUUCUCUGACGGACAUGAUGGCCUGUCAAGAGUUUCACGGCGGUUUUUAAAAUAUACAGCGAGUCGUGUUAUAAAGACCUUUGUGGAGGGGGAAGGGGUGAAUGCUCGAGGGGGGAGACGGAGGACUUGAGAGAAAAUCCAUAACACAAAUACAGCUGUCAGCUGGAAUGCAAAGUUAGCAGAAGCAGCUUCGGUGGCUGAGAGGAGCGAGUUUAUGACUUCAGGUGCCAUCCUCCCUCAUGCUUCAGUUAUCGACACUACAAUUACGUCAUUCAUUCCCAAUGCUGUGGAGAUGUAUUUUAUCAAGCCAACAGGUAUCAGCAGCCAUCAGUGCGUGACGGCCCAUGGGCGUACACAAAGAAGUCCACUUUCCACCAGCGUCUGCAGCUCCGAGUAGCACCAAUAAUCUCUCCUGAGGUGCUCGGCUAAUGGAUAUAGAGGAGUAAUGAUCAACGCCUCAGACUCAAGUACUGUCAUUUCCGUCUAGUGAACACCCUGCUUCUCCCUGUACCACAUUUCCCCAGCUCAUCGGAAAUGGGCCAUUCCUCUCCCUAAGCAAACGUUAGGGUCAUUCUUUAAGACAGUCAUCACCUCAUAACAGCCUGGCACUCUCCCGAAACACUGUGUGAAGCCUAACAACACAGGAAAUCUUGUGCAUGAAACAUCAGAGUAGUAAAAAAAUGUACCACUGAGGUAAAACCAUACUUAAGUCCUUUAUGCGAGAAUUAAAUUAACAUUUGGAUUAAAUUUGUGAUAUAUAGCACUAAUAAAAAAAUGUCCAGUCGCAGGGAGCAUCCUAAAGCUGACGGCAUGCCGAGACGGCACUUCUG